rnacentral:rRNA from 1 species
UACGGGGGGAGCAAGCGUUGUUCGGAUUUACUGGGCGUAAAGGGCGCGUAGGCGGCCAGCACAAGUCAGUUGUGAAAUCUCCGGGCUUAACUCGGAAAGGUCAACUGAUACUGUGCGGCUAGAGUGCAGAAGGGGCAACUGGAAUUCUCGGUGUAGCGGUGAAAUGCGUAGAUAUCAGGAGGAACACCGGUGGCGAAGGCGCACAUCUGGCCCGAUACUGACGCUGAGGCGCGAAAGCUAGGGGAGCAAACGGG